rnacentral:rRNA from 1 species
GACAUCCAAUUCGACUAUCUUUUAUCGAGAUUUUUGCCUUCGGGUACAAUUGAGACAGGUGGUGCAUGGUUGUCGUCAGCUCGUGUCGUGAGAUGUUGGGUUAAGUCCCGCAACGAGCGCAACCCUUGUGUUUUAGUUGCAAACAGGUCAAGCUGUGCACUCUAGACAGACUGCCGUGGACAACACGGAGGAAGGUGGGGAUGACGUCAAAUCAUCAUGCCCCUUAUGAUCUGGGCUACACACGUGCUACAAUGGCCGGUACAACGGGCAGCGAAGGAGCGAUCCGGAGCGAAUCCUAAAAAGCCGGUCCCAGUUCGGAUUGCAGGCUGAAACUCGCCUACAUGAAGUUGGAGUUGCUAGUAAUCGCGAAUCAGAAUGUCGCGGUGAAUGCGUUCCCGGGUCUU